AGCUCCAAUAGCGCAUAUAAAAUAUGUUGCGGUGAAAAAGCUCGUAUUUGGAUUUCUGCUGAGGACGACCAGUCCGCCCUCUGGGUGAGUAUCUGGUUCGGCCUGGGCAUCUUCUUGGAGAACGUAGCUGCACUUGACUGUGUGGUGGGUGCGGUAUCCAGGAUUAGUAUUUUGAGGAAAUUAGAGUGUUUCAAGCAGGCACACGCCUUGAAUACAUUGGCAUGGAAUAAUAAGAUAGGACCUCGGUGAUAUUUUGUUGGUUUCUAAAGCAGAGGUAAUGAUUAAUAGGGAUAGUUGGGGGCAUUCGUAUUUAAUUGUCAGAGGUGGAAUUCUUGGAUUUGUUAAAGACGGACUGCUGCGAAAGCAUUUGCCAAGGAUGUUUUCA
rnacentral:rRNA from 1 species